rnacentral:lncRNA from 10 species
GUGCGGUGUCUGCGCGGCGGGAGCCGCGGCGCCGAGGCGGUGCACUACAUCGGAUCUCGGCUUGGACGAACCUUGACAGGAUGGGUGCAGCGAACUUUCCAGAGCACCCAGGCAGCUACGGCUUCCUCCCGGAACUCCUGUGCAGCUGACGACAAAGCCACUGAGCCUCUGCCCAAGGACUGCCCUGUCUCUUCUUACAACGAAUGGGACCCCUUAGAGGAAGUGAUAGUGGGCAGAGCAGAAAACGCCUGUGUUCCACCGUUCACCAUCGAGGUGAAGAGACGGGGUUUCACCGUGUUAGCCAGGAUGGUCUCGAUCUCCUGACCUCGUGAUCCACACGCCUUGGCCUCCCAAAGUGCUGGGAUUGCAGGGG